UUAAAGGUGUGCUCCACCACCACCCGGCCUUCUGCUUUCAUUUUCUUUAGGACCUACCUUCCCCCUUGUAGGCUUUAACUCCCUUUUGUGAGAAUGUGAAACAUGUCCCUGGUUCUGAAAUGACAACCAAAGGAGAGCCCAGGAAAGGGCAUUCUUCUCUGACUCUGUCAUUCCAGAGCUGAACCAGCUCAUCUUUCUUGUCACAGAUCCCAGCAUGGUCAGUGCCUACAUGUACCCAACAGGUGCCCCUGCGGCACAAGCAGCCCCACAGGCCCAGGCGGGGCCCACCACCAGCCCUGCCUACUCUUCCUACCAGCCCACUCCAACCCCAGGCUACCAGGCUCCGCAGAGCCUCCCAGCCAUCUCCCAGCCUCCACAGACCAGCACCAUAGGCUACAUGGGGAGCCAGCCAAUGUCCAUGGGUUACCAGCCGUACAACAUGCAGAGUCUCAUGACCACCCUUCCAGGCCAGGAUGCAUCUCUGCCAGCCCAGCAGGCCUACAUCGCAGGGCAGCAGCCCAUGUACCAGCAGGUGAGCCAUCUCCAGGGCCCUUCCCCAGCCCUUGAACUCUUGGGUGUCCUUUGAUCACCUGCAUUAGGUUCAUACCCAGGGGCUUUUUUCAGCCAUCAGUGCAAACACAUACAUCCA
rnacentral:lncRNA from 1 species